AGCCCACUUUAGGGAGUAGGGGGCAUUAAUUUGCAUGAUCCUGCCUCUUAUAAAGUGAGAUGAGGUGCCACCAUUUGGCAGUUUUCUGGCCUACCUGCUGGUUCUCCCUCCCCGCAGAAAAUAACAUUUCUCUGGGCUGAAGUCUGAGCCAGGAAAACCAGCUGUUUUUCUUGGAGUGAGAUCUGAAGACGGGAGGUGAAGGAGACGGACAUACCUUUUAACCCCUCCCUCCUUUCACAGCAAGGAUGGGUGCAGUUUCUUUCUAAAGUCAGACCUCAGCACACCAUGUACACCUGGACUAGAAAAUGUCCCAUGUCAUAAAAGAUGCCCAGACUUGGAUUUGGGAUUCUCUUCCUUUUGGAGCAGGAAACAAUUGAGGGCUGGUUUGAUUUUCCUUGCCUGAUGUUCCUUCUUUUCCCUGCCUAGCUUUAUUGACCUGAUCCCACUUAAACAAAAAACCGCAUCCCACCUGAUCAGCCAUGGUUUCAUGUGCCAGCAGGCAAGACACGGAUGUAUUUUUCCUGGUGGAAAUCUACGCCUACGUUGCUGCUUUCCCUAUAAAAACCCAUAGUGGUUAAUGACUCAGUGGAGAUCAUGACCUUCUGUGAGCUACAAUGGAGAUUCCAGUAUUUUCUUGUGUGUGGCAAUACCACAUUUUAAGUGGCGACUGUAAAUCUAUCGUGGUUUCUGUCAGAGAGUAAUGUGAUUGUGUUGUAAAGCAAACUGACUACUGGACUUCAACCACAUUGUGUCGGUUGCUAGAGGCUAACGAGGGCGGGGGAGGGGAGGUAAGGCGGAAAUGCAAAACUCUCCUGUAUUUUGAACACCUAGCUUCUAGCUGGACUGUGCAGGCGCCUGAGUUACAGUUAAGGGCUGAAGAUUCCAACCCGAGGGAGAGGGAUGUGCACAGGGUUAGCUGCUAACUUCCCGGAAUGCCACUAAAACAAAGCCAAGGUCACUGCAAAACCAAAUGCUGUCUGCUUUUGCUGGGGCUUGGAAAUGCCUUAAAACAAAACAUUGUGUCCUUGUUGUCAAGCCUCUUGACUCGCCAUCUGAUUCAGCAGUGCUCCCUAGGGGCCAUGCACUUAACUUCGGCUUUAUUUUGAAUAGCAUUUAUAAUGCCGAUGUACAAAACGACAUUCGGUUUUGAUUUUUUUUUGAUUGGCUAUUUUUUACAAUGUGUCUGUCCAUGUGGCUUCAUUUUUAGGAUAAAUUAAUGACCAUUGUGAACUGCUGUAUGAAUUCUGAAGGGCAAUGCACAGUAGAGGAGCAGCAUGAUAUAACCAUUACUAACUUGUGUCUUUUGUCAAUCACCAUGAAAUAAAGUUUGAAAACUAUUAAAUAUGUUUACAAGGG